rnacentral:rRNA from 1 species
UGGGGAAUUUUGGACGAAUUGGGCGAAAGCCUGAUCCAGCAAUGCCGCGUGUGUGAAGAAGGCCUUCGGGUUGUAAAGCACUUUUGUCCGGAAAGAAAUCCUCUGGGUUAAUACCUCGGGGGAGGUGACGGGUACCGGAAGAAUAAGCACCGGCUAACUACGUGCCAGCAGCCGCGGUAAUACGUAGGGUGCAAGCGUUAAUCGGAGUUACUGGGCGUAAAGCGUGCGCAGGCGGUUUUUGUAAGACGGAUGUGAAAUCCCCGGGCUUAACCUGGGAACUGCAUUCGUGACUGCAAGGCUAGAGUAUGGCAGAGGGGGGUGAGAAUUCCACGUGUAGCAGUGAAAUGCGUAGAGAUGUGGAGGAAUACCGAUGGCGAAGGCAGCCCCCUGGCAAGUACUGACGCUCAUGCACG